rnacentral:rRNA from 1 species
AACGCGAAGAACCUUACCUAGACUUGACAUCUUCUGCAUUACCCUUAAUCGGGGAAGUUCCUUCGGGAACAGAAUGACAGGUGGUGCAUGGUUGUCGUCAGCUCGUGUCGUGAGAUGUUGGGUUAAGUCCCGCAACGAGCGCAACCCCUAUUGUUAGUUGCUACCAUUAAGUUGAGCACUCUAGCGAGACUGCCCGGGUUAACCGGGAGGAAGGUGGGGAUGACGUCNAAUCNUCAUGCCCCUUAUGUCUAGGGCUACACACGUGCUACGAUGGCAAGUACAGAGAGAUGCACUACCGUGAGGUGGAGCUAAACUUUAAAACUUGUCUCGGUUCAGAUUGUGCGCUAAAACUCG